AAAAGAAAAAAAAAAAGAAAAGUAAAAAGAAUAAAAGCUCAUUUUAACGACACGAACGAAGAAGAAUAUGAUUGAAGGAGAAAGUUCGUUCUUUAGUUACCUUCUUUAAAUGGGGUAAAAAGGUCGCUAGUAGGUAAUAUUCGGCAAAAGGGUUGGAGAAAGUUAAAAAUUCUUCCCCUCUCCAUCGAUAAAAAGGGGUAAAAGUUUAGAAAGUUGGGGGAGAAAAAAAUUUGUCGGAGAAGGGAUAAGUACGAAUGUAUGUUUUGUCGUUCUUACGUAUAAACUACGAUGUUGUUUCAGUUUGCUCGUACGCGUGAACGAACGAACUAGUGUUUUAUCGUCGAGUUCUCAUGUUUAUCCGUAUCCUUGAAAAAUAAAUACGAGUGUCAAUGGAUGUUGCAAGGUAAUUUUUUUUCCCCCAUCUACCUUUACUGGGAAACGCCUAGAGGCCCUAGUGACAGUGUUCUAAGCGCUAGAGACAUCUAUCGUUCGAAGCCGAAAGGUAGAAGUUUGAGGAACGCCCGGUAGAGCGCAUGAUCGACCCUUUUCCAGAUGGCCGCCGCUAAAGAUUCUCCGAUUGGUCGAUUCGACGGCGGCCAUCAUGAAUUCCGAGCAUAAACGACAUAAUGAGGCCCGUGAUGGCCGACUCGGCCGCCAAUGACGUCAUGGGGGUGGCACUCGACGAAAAAAAAAAGAACCAGGGAAUUCGAAAAAUGGCGUCCUGCACGGUGCAGCUUAUAAGUACCUAAAGCGUAUAGUAAAGAAUCGAAGCGACUAGGAAAUUCCGUCUUAUUCCGUGAGAGCCUCAACCAAGAAAUAUUAAAUCUGACACCCUUUGGAUUGGCAUGUAACUCAAAGGGCAAUAAACCUAGUGACUUUGCGAACGAUAUAGACAGACAACGACCUCGAUGGGAAGAGAGAAAGGGAGAAAGAUAGAUAUAUACAUAUAGAAAGAGAGACAGCGAGAGAGAGAGAGAGAGAGAGAGAGAGAGAGAGAGAGAAAGAGACAAACAGACAGAGACAGAGGGGUAUGUCGAAGGACCGUGCGUAAAAACUUUUAUGAUCACAGUCAAUAAAGUGACGUAACUUAAGUGGUCUACGAACGAACGACGGCAGAGUCGGUGACGUCAGAAAAAGAGUACGGAAGUCGCGCGUAAAUGCCACGUGAAGCUCGAUGGAUGGUCGGCAAGGGGUUGUCGGGAAGGAAGGAGACAGCGGAGGAUGGAGGGUGGUGGAGAAAGCGGUCGUUGUCGCGGGUAAGAGACUCCGACACUUCAGGAAGCAGAGACGAGGAGGGAAGUACCGAACUCGAGGAAAUGCGUGAAUGAGAGAAGGAGAAAGAAAGAAAGAAAGUGCCAGAGAGAGAGAGAGAGAGAGAGAGACAGUGAGAUAGACAGAAAGAAUAAGAGAGAGAGAGAGAGAGAGAGAGAGAGAGAGAGAGAGAGAGAGAGAGAGAGAGAGAGAGAGAGCUGGUUGAUGGUUUACGACAUUCCGUUGAUGGCCGUAGUGGCGUAGUUGUGCCGUCGAGCCCAUAAAAAUGUAACGAGCCUGUAAACGUUCGUUUAUAUUGCCUUGCCUUUACGCCCAUCCGGAUUGGGGCAGGUCGGGAAGUCGAGUGGUACCGUGUGUGACGUCACGUAAGAAGACAGACGUGCGACCCCGCGUGGCCCGCUAUGAUUUGUCUACCACCCCCUCCCUCCUCGCCACCUCACCUUACCUCCCACCCCCGCCCCUCCCCCAACCUCUUUCCCUACGCUCGAGGGCCUACUACCUAACUGUUUUUCUACGCGGACCGCCACGUAGGUAUAAUAGCAUCGUAGACUCGUUUUAGAGCCGAUAAACGCGCGACACACCGCAGACUGCCUGUCUCUUCUUUGCAUUACGUCGACGGCCCCCGACUCUCGUCGUUGCCGUUGCCGUUGCUCUGCUUAUGAUGCUUCUGUUAUUGCUCGAGUCUUACACAUCCGGCGACCUUGAAACGUCGCUCGUAAUCCUCGCCAACGCGAAUGUAAUAAAAGAAUACCUUUAACGAAUACGUAUUAGCUUUAGACGUGUAUCCGUUACGAUAUCUUAUUAAUAUUUCAAAGGAAAUACUAUUCUCUUUCGGUCAAUGUAACUCACAAAUAUAUAGUAUUUACUUUAUUAUUAUAGUAUUUAUUGUUAUUCU